UACGGGGGGUGCGAGCGUUGUCCGGAAUCACUGGGCGUAAAGGGCGCGUAGGUGGCGUGAUAAGGGUGUGGUGAAAGCCCGGGGCUCAACCCCGGGUCGGCCAUGCCGACUGUCAGGCUGGAGUACUGUAGGGGCAGGCGGAAUUCCGGGUGUAGCGGUGGAAUGCGUAGAGAUCCGGAAGAACACCAGUGGCGAAGGCGGCCCGCUGGGCAGUGGCUGACGCUGAGGCGCGACAGCGUGGGGAGCGAACAGG
rnacentral:rRNA from 1 species